rnacentral:rRNA from 1 species
UACAGAGGGUGCAAGCGUUGUUCGGAAUUAUUGGGCGUAAAGGGCGCGUAGGCGGUGCCACAAGUCACCUGUGAAAUCUCCGGGCUUAACUCGGAGCCUGCAGGCGAAACUGUGGUGCUGGAGUGUGGGAGAGGUGCGUGGAAUUCCCGGUGUGGCGGUGAAAUGCGUAGAUAUCGGGAGGAACACCUGUGGCGAAAGCGGCGCACUGGACCAUAACUGACGCUGGAUGCGCGAAAGCUAGGGGAGCAAACAGG